AGCCCCGUGGUGUAUACACACGUUGAAUUGCAAAUUCAAAGAAGCAGCUUCAACCCUGCCGGGGCUU
rnacentral:tRNA from 1 species